UACAGAGGGUGCGAGCGUUAAUCGGAAUUACUGGGCGUAAAGCGCGCGUAGACGGUUUUGUAAGUCAGAUGUGAAAUCCCCGGGCUCAACCUGGGAACUGCAUUUGAUACUGCAUGGCUAGAGUAUCGAAGAGGGAAGUGGAAUUUCCGGUGUAGCGGUGAAAUGCGUAGAUAUCGGAAGGAACACCAGUGGCGAAAGCGACUUCCUGGUCGAAUACUGACGUUCAUGUGCGAAAGCGUGGGGAGCAAACAGG
rnacentral:rRNA from 1 species